UGCCUACGGGACGCAGCAGUGAGGAAUAUUGGUCAAUGGCCGAGAGGCUGAACCAGCCAAGUCGCGUGAGGGAAGACGGCCCUUCGGGUUGUAAACCUCUUUUGUCGGGGAGCAAAGCGAGUCACGUGUGACUCAUUGAGAGUACCCGAAGAAAAAGCAUCGGCUAACUCCGUGCCAGCAGCCGCGGUAAUACGGAGGAUGCGAGCGUUAUCCGGAUUUAUUGGGUUUAAAGGGUGCGCAGGCGGAUUUUUAAGUCAGCGGUCAAAUCGUGGGGCUCAACCCCAUCCAGCCGUUGAAACUGGGGA
rnacentral:rRNA from 1 species